UGGUGAGAGUGUGUGUGUGUGUGGUGAGAGUGUGUGUGUGUGUGUCCAGCCAGAGGCAGCUCUGGAGAGGGAGGAGACGAUGCGCAGCCUGGUGGACAUGCAGAGAAAACUGGAGCUCCGCCACCAACGAGAGCGAGAGAGACACACACUCAGGGUCCAGGAGCGCCUGACCAUCAUUCAGAACAGGAAGUCAGAUGAUGACUUGCUUGGAAUAAUGAACCUUAGUGCAUUCACACAGGAAGAGGAUGAGCAGCUUCAGAAGAUGAUGGUGAGAGAGAGGCUGGAUCAGCUAAGAAGAGAACGUUCAUACAUACUGCAAACCCGCAGAGAGAGGAACACUGCUGGCUUCAAGGAACUGCUGGGACCAACUGCUCAACAUACCCUACGUACAGAAGAUUGACACAGAGACACUGAAACACACACACACACAUACACACACACACACACAGAUACACUUCUCACAGACUGCAGUGCCAGGCUGUGUAUAAACAAAUGCUGCCAUCUGCAGGUGAAAGGGUGUAUGUGCAACAAAAAUUCCUUCCCUGGAGGCAAGUGGUUCUGAGCGUAGACAUAAAUAGGUCUGUAUAUAUAUAUCUAUGGUUCUGAUAUAUGUCUAUGGUUCUGAUAUAUAUCUAUGGUUCUGAUAUAGAUCUAUAUAUGUCUAUGGUUCUGAUAUAGAUCUAUAUAUGUCUAUGGUUCUGAGCUCUGCUCCCAGUUCCCUCUGCCAAUCAGGAGCUGAUUUCAGUCAGGUGUGUUUAGUUGAGGCUCAGACAGCUGUGGCCCAGGAGCAGGACUGAGAGUAGCUCAACACUGCCCCCUAGAGCAGUGGUUCUCAAACUGGGGUCCGCGGACCCCUUGGGGUCCGCGACGCCUUGCCUGGGGGUCCGCGAAAAAGUCUGGCUUCCAACGUUUUUUUUAUUUAUUGCAAUACCGUAUACAAAACAUAUAGACUAAUGUUGGACGGUGUACCUGUGCUAGAAAGGUACCGUGGAAACCUUACGUAAAAAACGAUACGGAUUUGCAUAUUUUUAGUAUAGGUACUUCAUUAAAAUAGCACGCAAUCAGAGCGCACUCCCUGUCAGUGUCAGGCUACCUGCACGCAUUGACUGCAAGGGCGGGGCUUCCCAGCUCUCACACACUGCGAGUGAUCUCAGGGGAGACAUGGCCUCAUGUGCAGGAGCUCUUGCUGACCGUCCUCGGCUUGUAUUAAAAAAAAUAUAUGUCAGAAAUAAGAUCUGGAAGUACUUCAGAUACGAAGCAGAAUGUGAAGGAAAGCCCAUCGACACACAGAGACCCAUCUGUAAAACAUGCUUCAAAGUCACUCUGGCAAAGGGUGGCAACACGUCAAAUAUGGCUAAGCACCUCUCAGACAGACACCCGAACUUUUCAGAGAGUUCAAAGAACGACAGGUUAGCAAAU